AUUCCAGCUCCAAUAGCGUAUAUUAAAGUUGUUGCAGUUAAAAAGCUCGUAGUUGGAUUUCUGGUGGGAGCGAUCGGUCUGGCGCUUAGCGCGAGUACUUGCAUCGUCUCCGGCCAUCCUUGGGGAGAGUUUGUCUGGCAUUAAGUUGUCGGGCAGAGGAUCCUCAUCGUUUACUGUGAAAAAAUUAGAGUGUUCAAAGCAGGCUUAUGCCGUUGAAUAUAUUAGCAUGGAAUAAUAAGAUAGGACUUUGGUACUAUUUUGUUGGUUUGCGCACCAAAGUAAUGAUUAAUAGGGACAGCCAGGGGCACUCGUAUUCCGCCGAGAGAGGUGAAAUUCUCAGACCAGCGGAAGACGAACCACUGCGAAAGCAUUUGCCAGGGAUGUUUUCAUUG
rnacentral:rRNA from 1 species